rnacentral:lncRNA from 1 species
UAGCAAUCAAGGCACUAAAUUACAGGAACUUUUUUUUCCCCUUAUAUUCAUUUAUAAUAGCUAAAUCUCUUACUGUCAUGUCAAUUGAAUCUUUUUCUUUUUUUUUUUUUUUUUUUUUUUGUCUUUUUAGGGCCAUACCUGCGGCAUAUGGAGGUUUCCAGGCUUGGGGUCUAAUUGGAGCUGCAGCUGCCGGCCGACACCACAGCCACAGCAAUGCCAGAUCCUUAACCCACUGAGCAAGGCCAUGGAUGGAGCCCAUGUCCUCAUGGAUACUAGUUAGGUUCGUUAACCACCGAGCCACGAUGGGGACUCCCUGAACCUUAUUUUUAUGAACUCACUAUCAAGCCAAUAUCACUGCUGUGUGAUUCUCUGCUGCUGACCUCAGUUAUUUAGAAAACUUAAACAAUGGGAUAUGUAGAAAAUCCAAUUCUCUGGCCAAUCAAAAGAAAAUCGCUUUUAUUUCCAAUACUUAUUAUUAAGUAUCGCUCUAAAAUAUGAGUUCACUUUUCAGUAUAAGUAAGUGUGGAAUAGUAGUCAUGAUUUACUUUAAUUCUACAUGACUAAGGACCUGACAAUAGUGCGGGGUAAAUAUUCUGAAGAGUAAUUAGAACUAUAGCAAAGAUUCUUAAAAUGGGUUUCAUAAUUGAACAUCACAGUUUAUGAACUGUCAGAAAUUCUAUGCAAAACAUUGCACAACUUUUCCAUGAGAAAAUUGGCCAUGACUUUCAUUAAUUUUUAAAGGAGCUGUGAUGAACAUUGAUCAGUUCUUUAGAAUACGCAAUAUAUGUGGAGCAUGGUACUAUUUAUACAAAGUUUUUAAAACUGGAAAAAAAAAACUAUCCUUUAGUUCUUGUUCACAAGUCCACGUAAAUGUAGUAAAAAGUAUAAAUCCUGCUCAGAGUUAAUAAACCCCAAUUUCAGAAUAGUGUUUACCUCUGUGUCUUCAUCUGCUCAGCCACUAUAACAAAAUACCAUAAACUUGGUGGCUUAAACAACAGAAAUUUCUUGCUCACACUUCUGGAUGCCAGGAAGUCCAAGAUCAAGGUUCUGGUUGGUGAGAAACUGGUUUAUAGAUAACAUCUCCUCACUGUGUCCUCCUUAAAGGGCAGGGGGUGGGGUGUGGGGCAAGAGAAGGAGAGGGAGGAAGCUCUGUGUCUCUUGCUCUCUCUUUUUUUAAAAUUUAAAAAAUUUUUGUCUUUUGGGGACUGCACCCCUAGCAUAUGGAAGUUCCCAGGCUAGGGUCAAAUCAGAGCUACAGCUGCCAGCCUACACCACAGCCACUGCAACUCCGGAUCCUUAACGCACUAAUCAAGGCCAGGGAUCGAACCUGUGUCCUCAUGGAUACUCGUCGGGUUAGUUACUGCUGAGCCGCACCAGGAACUCCUCUUCCACUUUCUUUAAGGAACCGGCAGUAUGGAAUCAGGGCCUCAUCCUUAUGACUCUAAUCUUAAUACCUCCUUAUAGGUCCUUUCUGCAAAUACAGUCACAUUGGGAGUUAGGGCUUCAAUAUAUGAAUUCUGAGGAGACACAAUCCAGUCGAUAGCAGUCUGGGAAGGGGAGGCUACAUGGAGGGUUUCAACUCUAUAUGUAAGUUGUUCCCUAAGAAAAUAAAACAAAACAGCUAAGCAAAUGCAGCAAAAUGUUAACAUCUGUCAGACUAGAGGAUAUAUGAGUUUUUAUUAAUAAUUAUUUAUGCUUAAAGAUUUUCUUUGAAAAGAAGAAACAAGCAAACCAAACCUUAUUUAGAUUUCUCUAGAAGGUGAGCUCUGUGUGGGAAAGGAUUUUAUUCACUUUGUCCUUUACUGCAUCUCCAUUACUUAGAAGAGUGUCUGGUCCAGAAUUGGCGUUCAAUAUAAAUCUGUUGAAUCGAAUGAAAGGAAAUGGAUAGGGAACCAACUCAUAUCUUUACUGAGCCUAAAACAUUCAACAACCUUAAAAACUGUUAGUAAUGUUGUGUGCAUUUUCUAGAAUUCCUUUGCUUAUAUGAAAUAAUAAAUCAUAUUAACAUAGAGUAAAUAAGGUCAUACGUGUCAAAGCAAUCAUAAGUAUUAAACCUAAGUAUGAGACACGAUGUCUUACUGAGAGAAUUGAUUAGAGUCAAGAGAGAUUUGAGGUUAAAUCUGACUUUUUAAUCUAAUUCCUGCCAAUUACAUUCAGUUCUAAGGGAUUAUGACUUUCCUAAGUUUCUGCUAAGGGACAGCAGCCAUUUUUCUAAUACAGACCCUUGUCACAUACUGUCUCUGAUUGUAUAAGGAUGGGAGUUGAUCUUAGGGUAGACACCUCAUCUAUGGGCUGGCAGACAAUCCGUAAACUGGGUGAUUUGUUUCAAAAAGAUGACCUGAGCCAAUCAGAUCCCCCCCACCCCAUUUUUUCUUUUUACGGCUGAACCUGCAGCACAUGGGAGUUGCCAGGCUAGGAGUCGAAUUGGAGCUUCAGCUGAAGGCCUACACCACAGCCACAGCAAUGCUGUAUCCAAGCCACAUCUGUGACCUACACUGCAGCUUGUGGCAAUGACAGAUCCUUAACCCACCAAGUGAGGCCAGUGAUCAAACUCACAUCCUCACGGACACGAUGCGGAGUUCCUGACCCACUGAGCCACAAAGGGAACUCCCAAUCUGAUUCUUUUUGGAUACAAGGAAUUAAGUGGAAGCUAACAGAUUUUAACAACUGGCGGAAGAGGCAGAAACUGAAAAUUAAGAAUGUGGAGACAGGUGAACUUCAUGAAGGACCAGGUAAAAGUCGAAGUUCUAAGAAAAUACGACUUCAGAGGGCACAGUAGAAGGCAAAUGUUAGAGAGAGACUAGAACAAACCUACAGAAAAGAAAUGUUUAGAAAGAGAGAGGAACCCUGAGGGCAUUUCUAGAGCCCAAAGCAGCCCAGCUAAAAUCCUCUAGUCAACUUCCGUAUUUUACUUUAGAAGUGAGGAAAUGUAUUUUCACUCACACACACAAACACACACACACACACACACACACACACACACACACACAGUUUAUAAAAAUACUUACGGAGACAACCUCAAAUACUGGAAACAACCUCAAAUUCUGGAAACAACCUCAAAUGUCCAUCUACAGAAGAACGGUAAACAAAUUGUUGUGUAUUUAGGCAAUAGACUAUUAGUCAGAAAUCAAAGGGCACAACCACUGUUAUAAGCAACGACAUGUGUGAAUCUCACAGACAUUAUGUUGAGGGAAAUAAACCAGAUACAACAGAAUCAUACUGGGUGUUCCCACUUAAACGAAGCCCAAGGAACAGGUACAACUAAUCAGUGGUGACAGAUUCAGAAAGCAGUUCCCUCUGGGAAAGAGAGGAAUUGAGUGGAAAUGGGUGUGAGGGAAUUUUCUGAGGUCACAGUUCCUCCUAUCUUGUUUUGGGUGGUAAAUGCAAUUGUUAAAAUUCAAUGGACUGAACAAUUUAAGAUUUGUGUGUGUUAGUGUGUGUACAUCAUACAGCAAUUUUUAAAAUGUGACUU